GACGAACGCUGGCGGCGUGCUUAACACAUGCAAGUCGAACGGAAAGGCCCUGCUUUUGUGGGGUGCUCGAGUGGCGAACGGGUGAGUAACACGUGAGUAACCUGCCCUUGACUUUGGGAUAACUUCAGGAAACUGGUGCUAAUACCGGAUAGGAGCUCCUGCUGCAUGGUGGGGGUUGGAAAGUUUCGGCGGUUGGGGAUGGACUCGCGGCUUAUCAGCUUGUUGGUGGGGUAGUGGCUUACCAAGGCUUUGACGGGUAGCCGGCCUGAGAGGUGGACCGGCCACAUUGGGACUGAGAGACGGCCCAGACUCCUACGGGAGGCAGCAGUGGGGAAUAUUGCACAAUGGGCGGAAGCCUGAUGCAGCAACGCCGCGUGCGGGAUGACGGCCUUCGGGUUGUAAACCGCUGUAGCCUGUGACGAAGCGUGAGUGACGGUAAUGGGUAAAGAAGCACCGGCUAACUACGUG
rnacentral:rRNA from 1 species